CGGUCCUACCGAUGCCGUGCACUUCACCUAACAAUUAUUGGUAAUACAAAUAAACAUCGAUGCAUGGACAACUCUUUGCUCAGAUGCUUCUCUAAGCAUGUUGCAGCCACUUGAUCUCUAAAUCAUGUGGGCUCACCUAAUAGUUAUUGCCCGUACUUCUUAGUUAAGCCAGACCCACCGUUCACAAGUAAGUGUAAAGCC
rnacentral:lncRNA from 1 species